UCCUGCUGGUUCUUGGUAUAACUUCAACAAAGUAGCCCAAUAUAAGCAACUUACUCUGGAGGAAGCAGAAGAGAAAAUGAAAAAUAGAAGAAAAACUGCUGAUGGGUACCAGAGAUGGAUGAUGAAAGCAGCAAAUAAUGGGCCUGCUGCCUUCGGUGAACUAGAAAGAUUUGAUGACAAAGAAGGUGGAUCUGGUGGGACAAGGGGGCGUAAGAAAACUUCUGGUGAUGAGGAUGAAGGCAAUGCAUCAGACCAUGGGGAUGAAGAUGAGGAAGAGGAGGCUGCUAGGAAAAACAGGUUAGGACUCAACAAAAGAGGCAUUGAUGAUGAUGAAGAGGGUCCUAGAGGGGGCGAUCUUGACCUCGAUGAUGAUGACAUUGAAAAAGGGGAUGACUGGGAGCAUGAGGAGAUUUUUACGGAUGAUGAUGAAGCUGUUGGGAAUGAUCCUGAGGAGAGGGAGGAUUUGGCUCCUGAAAUUCCUGCUCCUCCAGAGAUUAAGCAGGAUGAAGAUGACGAGGAGGAAGGUGAAGAAGAGGGAGGUGGUCUGAGCAAAUCUGGAAAGGAGCUGAAAAAGUUGCUUGGAAAAGCCAAUGGAUUGAAUGAAUCAGAUGAAGAUGACGACG
rnacentral:misc_RNA from 1 species